rnacentral:rRNA from 1 species
AGAGUUUGAUCCUGGCUCAGAUUGAACGCUGGCGGCAUGGCUAAAACAUGCAAGUCGAACGCGAACGGGGCUUCGGCCCCUAGUAGAGUGGCGAAAGGGUGAGUAAUGCGUAUCUAACGUGCCCCAAGGUCAGGGAUAGCAUCGGGAAACCGUUGGUAAUACCUGAUGAUCCCGAUGGGACGUAUGUCUUGUCGGGCAAAGGCUUGCUGCCUUGGGAUCGGGAUACGUGGUAUCAGGUUGUUGGUGAGGUAAUGGCUCACCAAGCCGAAGACGCCUAGCGGGUGUGAGAGCACGACCCGCCACAUCGGGACUGAGACACUGCCCGGACUCCUACGGGAGGCUGCAGUAACGAAUAUUCCGCAAUGCGCGAAAGCGUGACGGAGCAAUGCCGCGUGCAGGAUGAAGCAUCUAGGUGUGUAAACUGCUGUCAGGGACUAGGAAUUUUGACCAAUCCCAGAGGAAGAACCGGCUAACUCGGUGCCAGCAGCCGCGGUAAUACCGAGGGUUCAAGCGUUAAUCGGAAUCACUGGGCUUAAAGGGUGCGCAGGCGGACAGGCAAGUAUCUUGUGAAAUCCCACGGCUCAACCGUGGAAUGGCUCGAUAGACUGCCUGUCUUGAACUCGACAGGGGCCGUCGGAAAUGUAGGUGGAGCGGUGAAAUGCGUAGAUAUCUACAGGAACGCCAAAGGCGAAGGCAGACGGCUGGGUCGACGUUGACGCUCAGGCACGAAAGCGUGGGUAGCGAACGGGAUUAGAUACCCCGGUAGUCCACGCCCUAAACGAUGUGUACUAGAUCGUGGAGGUUUUGACGCCAUCACGAUCGAAGCUAAAGUGUUAAGUACACCGCCUGGGGAGUACGGUCGCAAGGCUAAAACUCAAAGGAAUUGACGGGGGCUCACACAAGCGGUGGAGCAUGUGGCUUAAUUCGAAGCAACGCGAAGAACCUUAUCCAGGGUUUGACAUGUAUGGAUUAACUCCUUGAAAGAGGAGCCACGCCUUUUAGGUGGAACAUACACAGGUGCUGCAUGGCUGUCGUCAGCUCGUGCUGUGAAGCGUCGGGUUAAGUCCCUUAACGAGCGAAACCCCUGCCGUUAGUUGCUAACAGGUUAUGCUGAGGACUCUAGCGGGACUGCCGGUGUCAAACCGGAGGAAGGUGGGGAUGACGUCAAGUCCUCAUGGCCUUUAUGCCCUGGGCUGCACACGUGCUACAAUGCGUAGGACAAAGCGAAGCAAUACGGCAACGUGGAGCAAAUCGCAUAAACCUGCGCUCAGUUCGGAUUGUGGUCUGCAACUCGACCACAUGAAGCUGGAAUCGCUAGUAAU